GGGGAUUUAGCUCAGCGGUAGAGUGCUUGCCUAGCAGGUGCAAGGCCCUGGGUUCGAUCCCCAGCUCCG
rnacentral:tRNA from 1 species